rnacentral:rRNA from 1 species
GUGUCAGCCGCCGCGGUAAUACGAAUGGGGCAAGCGUUGUUCGGAUUUACUGGGCGUAAAGCGGGCGUAGGCGGCCGGCUAAGUCGGAUGUGAAAUCCCGGGGCUCAACUCCGGAACUGCAUUCGAUACUGGUCGGCUAGAGUUCGAGAGGGGGAUGCGGAAUUCCGCGUGUAGCAGUGAAAUGCGUAGAUAUGCGGAGGAACACCUGAGGCGAAGGCGGCAUCCUGGAUCGACACUGACGCUGAGGCCCGAAAGCGUGGGUAGCAAACAGGAUUAGAUACCCUGGUAGUCCACGCCCUAAACGGUGGGCACUAGGUGUGGGGCUCGAGAGGGUUCCGUGCCGAAGGGAAACCAAUAAGUGCCCCGCCUGGGGAGUACGGCCGCAAGGUUGAAACUCAAAGGAAUUGACGGGG